rnacentral:rRNA from 1 species
CUGGAGGUAUCAGAAGUGCGAAUGCUGACAUAAGUAACGAUAAAGCGGGUGAAAAGCCCGCUCGCCGGAAGACCAAGGGUUCCUGUCCAACGUUAAUCGGGGCAGGGUGAGUCGACCCCUAAGGCGAGGCCGAAAGGCGUAGUCGAUGGGAAACAGGUUAAUAUUCCUGUACCAGGUGUUACUGCGAAGGGGGGACGGAGAAGGCUAUGUUGGCCGGGCGACGGUUGUCCCGGUUUAAGCGUGUAGGUGUGUGUUCCAGGUAAAUCCGGUUCACUUUAACACUGAGGCGUGAUGACGAGGCACUACGGUGCUGAAGCAACAAAUGCCCUGCUUCCAGGAAAAGCCUCUAAGCAUCAGGUAACAUCAGAUCGUACCCCAAACCGACACAGGUGGUCAGGUAGAGAAUACCAAGGCGCUUGAGAGAACUCGGGUGAAGGAACUAGGCAAAAUGGUGCCGUAAC